rnacentral:misc_RNA from 1 species
GUAUUACAUUUGCUUUUAAAGCCAACAAGACAUUCUUUAAAAAUGGUGACAAAAAGCAUCCUGCUUAAACAAUCAAGGAUAUCAUUUCAACAUCCUUUUCUCAUUUAGUAGGCAAAGGUGCACAAGGUAAGAAGAAGAUUGGAUUGUAUCGGAGUGCACACCCAAACAGGCUUUUAUUUCCCUUCUCCUCGAGCCGUCAGGCCCCCACCCAGCAAUGAAAUUGAAGGGAGGAUUAAGAAGUCGAGACUAGCACAUCCAUCACAUUAAUGAUCCUUCCGCAGGUUCACCUACGGAAA